GAUGAACGCUGGCGGCGUGCCUAAUACAUGCAAGUCGAGCGAACAGACGAGGAGCUUGCUCCUCUGACGUUAGCGGCGGACGGGUGAGUAACACGUGGAUAACCUACCUAUAAGACUGGGAUAACUUCGGGAAACCGGAGCUAAUACCGGAUAAUAUAUUGAACCGCAUGGUUCAAUAGUGAAAGACGGUUUUGCUGUCACUUAUAGAUGGAUCCGCGCCGCAUUAGCUAGUUGGUAAGGUAACGGCUUACCAAGGCGACGAUGCGUAGCCGACCUGAGAGGGUGAUCGGCCACACUGGAACUGAGACACGGUCCAGAGUCCUACGGGAGGCAGAAGUAGGGAAUCUUCCGCAAUGGGCGAAAGCCUGACGGAGCAACGCCGCGUGAGUGAUGAAGGUCUUCGGAUCGUAAAACUCUGUUAUUAGGGAAGAACAAAUGUGUAAGUAACUAUGCACGUCUUGACGGUACCUAAUCAGAAAGCCACGGCUAACUACGUG
rnacentral:rRNA from 1 species